CACAGUGGCCACAGCACCUUAUCAAAUCUCAGAAGCUAUGCAAGGUCAGGCCUGGUUAGUACUGGAAUAGGAGACCAUUGGUAAAGCCAGGCAUCAUUGUGC
rnacentral:rRNA from 1 species